rnacentral:rRNA from 1 species
CCCUUAGAUGUCCUGGGCCGCACGCGCGUUACACUGAUGCAUUCAACGAGCUUAUAACCUUGGCCGAGAGGCCUGGGCAAUCUUGUUAACGUGCAUCGUGAUAGGGAUAGAUUAUUGAAAUUAUUAAUCUUGAACGAGGAAUUCCUAGUAAACGCAGAUCAUCAAUCUGCAUUGAUUACGUCCCUGCCCUUUGUACACACCGCCCGUCGCACCUACCGAUUGGAUGGUCCGGUGAAGCCUCGGGAUUGUGGUUCUUGCCGCUUUAUUGUGGCGUGACCGCGAGAACUUGUCUAAACUUUAUCAUCUAGAGGAAGGUGAAGUCGUAACA